rnacentral:lncRNA from 1 species
GGAUACACAUCAUCCUUUCUUUUCUGAACCAACAUUUGAGCCAAUUCCCCAAUUCCUUCUAUACUCAAAAAAUUGGAAUCGGUUCUCUAUAUCCACAAUAUAGAAGAAUAGAAAAAUUGGCUUAAUGACUUAGUGGGAUUUGGGAAUUAGGGAUUGUUGCCUAGUGUCUGCUCACUUAGUAUAUAUAUAACAUAAUACAGUGGGGUCAUGUUUCUUAGUAUACAUGUUCACUUUAGACCCUCUUAAUAUUUUUUUUCCUAAUAUGACCCUCUUAAUUUUUUUUCCUCCUAAUAUGACCCCUGACCCCCUGAAAAUUCAGUGGGGUCAGGUGCCCCC